UUUGUCCAGGUCUGUGGUUGCGGGCGCCAAGCCCUAGUCCAUGGCAGACGAGGUCAAAAGGAUCCACGUAAGCGCCGGCAUGCGUGCCUGCGCGAGCAUGGCUCGUCCUAGAGGUAAGUCGCACCGCCCGUCAGUCAAGAGGCAUCCGGCCUCGCGGGCGAGAGGGCCUCCAGUGAGCGCGGCUGCGGCCGCGCGAGCAAAAGCCCCGGUGCGCGAGUGUGGGGUCAAAAACCAGGUCAGCUGGACAAG
rnacentral:ncRNA from 1 species